rnacentral:misc_RNA from 1 species
AGAAGCAGAGAAAGCAGCAAAGGUAGACGCAUCCACAGCAUUUAACUUUACCUCGUGUGAGUCACGUGAGUCGCUGAAACUCACAAGAAAAACAAGAGAUCGAUACAAAAAGGCAAGAGGAUUAAUGGAGGAGAGCAGCAGAAGCACAGAAAAGGUAAAGAAAAGUGGAGAAAAUGAACAGGUUCUAGAUGGUUCAGAUAUAAUUGAGUUGGUUGAGAACGAGGAGGUGUUUAGCAGUUUCGUGGAUCAUAAGUUCCAGGAGCUGGAUAGAGAUAGAGACGGUCACCUCUCUGUCAAGGAACUUCAGCCUGCUGUUGCUGAUAUUAGUGCUGCCCUUGGCUUGCCUUCUCAGGGUUCUUCUCCUGAUUCUGAUCUUAUCUAUUCUGAGGUUCUUAAUGAAUUCACUCAUGGCAAGCAAGAGAAAGUGAGCAAGCCUGAAUUUAAAGAGGUUCUGUCAGAUAUUUUACUAGGCAUGGCUGCUGGCUUGAAGCGAGACCCUAUAAUCAUACUCCGCAUGGAUGGUGAAGACCUCUCAGAGUUCAUUAAUGGACCAAGUUAUGAAGCAGAAAUGAUCUCCAUAUUUUCACAGCUAGAAUCACCUGAUGGAUCACUCCAUGAUUUCAUUGUUAAAGCCUUGGAAAAGCUUACAGUUGAUCAAGGAAUGCCCCCUUCUUCAGAUUCCUGGGUGAUGAGCAACAUUGUGGAACCAGCCCUGGAAUCUUGCACUGGACAAGACCAUGAUAAGCCCAUCUCUCAAGAAACAUUCUUGGUGGAAUUCAAGAAAAUAGCAGAACGUGUAGCUCAGCGUCUAAAACAACGGCCUGUUAUUGUUGCUCACUGUGAAAAUACCUUUGAUGGGAGUAGCAUUAAGAGACUACUAACCAACAAGUUUGAAUUAGACAAGGUUAAUUAUUAUUUUUUUCAUUCAUGCAUGUUUAAUUGAAUUUUACCUUUUAUGAACUGCUUGCUUCUUAAAAUAUUUUCUGCAAAAUAUUGCAGACUUUGAACACAGCAUUAGAAGAUGUGCCGAAAGAUCGAAACGGGAAAAUGGCUAAGGAGUAUUUACGGGUGGCACUGGAUUCAGUGGCUCCAUCAGCUGGUCUACCUCCAAUUGGUGCUGUUGAUGAGAUAGACAAGGUUGUAGAUGAAGGGCUUAAGAUGAUGGAUGCAGAAGAUGGGAAGCUGGUUAAAGAAGACGAGUUCAAGAUGUUAUUGACUGAAAUCCUAGGAAGUAUUAUGUUGCAAAUAGAGGGCAACCCCAUCUCAGUUUCUUCAAAUUCUGUUGUGCACGAGCCUCUUGCUUCCUCUUCUACGCUUCUGCAGCCAUAUUACUAGCAUAUAUAUAUAUAUAUAUAGUGAUCAUAAUAUGAAAGAGGAAUGACUAUUUGUUAGCAUAUAAAGAAGGUGGAAAGCUACGCAUGGUCGUGAUUAUGUGCAAUUAACUUGAUUGUGCGAAUAUAGAAUAACUUGGUUAUAUAUGGUGAGUCGAGUUGACCUUUUCUUCGUGCUGUAUUUUCUUUUGUCUAGAUGUACUAAUUGCCCAUGCUAAUCAGUUAAUCAUUAUUGAUCAGAUUUUUUAAUUUAU